rnacentral:lncRNA from 1 species
AAACUGAAGCCACUGACUCACUUGUCCACCAAACACUUUCCAGGGCUUCUUACUGCCUUUGAUUCCAGCUCGAAUUCUCCCCACGUCCACAGAUGGCUUUCCGCUCCCCCGCGAGCCUCCUGGUGCACGGCUCCCUCAGAGCAGGCAAACUCAGCUGCUUCCUCGCUGUACAAGUUACUUCCUUGCUCCAAGCCCUGGGUUCCUCCUUGGUGGAUUAAGGAUUCCUACGUCAUAGAGAUGACAGCAUCUUACCGUUUGGGGAGUUCAGAUGGGGGAUACCUGUAUACAUGUGGAGGCUCCUACACCACUCCUGUGCCAGCAGUGUCUUGUAACUUCCCACGUACGGAGAAGCUGCCCACCUUCCUAAAGGUGUUGGGGACGUGGAUGGGAGGAGGGCCACCAUCCACAGGCAAGGGCUUUUCCUAACACGGCCAGCCCUCCCUCGUCCACUGAGACCAACUCAACAACAACAACAACAACAAAAAGCACGUGUGGAAAGAGAUGCAAACCAAAGGAUCCUUCAAUGGAGAAAUGUCAGAGGUCUGGACUGACUUUGAGGCACUGACUUUUGUGAUUUACUUAAUGCCAAACAAAGUCAUUGUUAAUUGGCACUUGAAGAAAGAACUGCAUAUAUUGAGAACCAGCACCGUGGCAGGUACUGUCCUCAGUGGUUUACGAACGCUCUUUCAUUGAGCACUCACAACAAACGUGUAAAGAGAAUGUAGUCAUCCUCGGCUUCCAGAUGGGAACCUGAGAGGUGGUAAAUGAUCAUCCUAAAGUUUCCCAGAGUUGUUAGCAAGCGGCAGAGCCUGGGUUCGAAUCCAGCAAUAGCCUAUGUCAGACCCUGUGCCCUCUCCGCGAAACUACCUGGCUUCCCACGUGGUCCGGACAUUCCCAGGAUACACUUCCAUACCUUCCUAGGUACCAGAAGCAGGAAGCACGUUUCCUGUGUGGUCAAAAGCAGCAGGGGUUCCUAAAUUUUAACGUGCGUGCAAAUCACCUGAGGCCUGGCUGAAACGAAGAUCCUGAGGCAGUAGGUCUGGAGUAGGUCCUCAGAACCCUCAUUUUGAACAAGCUACCAGGUGAUGCUGGCACUGCCAGUCCUUGGAUGACACUUUGAGUAGCAAGUGUGAAGGGCAAGACUGGAAUCCAUUAUUAUGGAGUCACAUCUCAGACUUAAAAUAGAAACGUGGACGUAUUUUGCACUCCUACAUCUACCUUUGUCAGAGAUACGUAUCAUAGGUUUUGUUUUGUUUUGUUUUGUUUUGUUUUGUUUUGUUUUGUUUUGUUUUGUUUUGUUUUCCAGUCUGAAGCUUUGCCUUUUCAUGGUGCAUUGAUGGCAUUUUUUUUUUGAAAAGAAGUCUUUCAUUUUGGGGAAAUCUAGUUUCUUUUCUUUUAUGGUUAGUGCGUAUCAUUUUCUAAGGGA